UACGUAGGGCGCAAGCGUUGUCCGGAAUUAUUGGGCGUAAAGAGCUCGUAGGCGGCUUGUCACGUCGGUUGUGAAAGCCCGGGGCUUAACCCCCGGGUCUGCAGUCGAUACGGGCUAGCUAGAGUGUGGUAGGGGGAGAUCGGAAUUCCUGGUGUAGCGGUGAAAUGCGCAGAUAUCAGGAGGAACACCGGUGGCGAAGGCGGAUCUCUGGGCCAUUACUGACGCUGAGGAGCGAAAGCGUGGGGAGCGAACAGG
rnacentral:rRNA from 1 species